CAGCACACACGUUCUGUACUGGUAAAAGUUUUCUUGUUGGAUAAGUUCACGGCCUACAGUUCUCUGGAGAUAAUGUUUCACCAAGCAGGUACGUAAUCGCCCUUGAGGGGCGACCGGACACACUUGGACUUGGACCCGGCCCAGAACUCCUAUCGGAGCAGCCAGUGGGCAAUUUGCGACCAUUGGCGAAACUCCUGUAUCAGCGAUCGCAGCGUGUGCGGACUACCGCUCUUUCGGGUUGUUAAACCGAUUUUCAGCCAGGGAAGAAGGCGCAUAUGACCGGUUACUUUCCAGAAGGAGUACCGGCCUAACUACGUGGCCAGCAGCCCGCCGUAAAUACGUUAGGGUACGAGCGUUGUUCCGCGAUUAUUUGGGCGUAAAGAAGCUCGUAGGUGGUUUGUUCACUUCUGCUGUGGAAACGCAACGCUUAAACGUUGCGCGUGCAGUGGGUACGGGCUGAUUAGAGUGCAGUAGGGGAGUCUGGAAUUCCUGGUGUAGCGGUGAAAUGCGCAGAUAUCAGGAGGAACACCGGUGGCGAAGGCGGGACUUUUGGGCUGUAACUGACACUGAGGAGCGAAAGCAUGGGGAGCGAACAGGAUUAGAUACCCUGGUAGUUCCAUGCCGUAAACGUUGGGCACUAGGUGUGGGGGGCAUUCCACGUUCUCCGCGCCGUAGCUAACGCAUUAAGUGCCCCGCCUGGGGAGUACGGUCGCAAGGCUAAAACUCAAAGGAAUUGACGGGGGCCCGCACAAGCGGCGGAGCAUGCGGAUUAAUUCGAUGCAACGCGAAGAACCUUACCAAGGCUUGACAUACACCGGACCGUCCUGGAAACAGGUCCUCUUCUUUGAAGCUGGUGUACAGGUGGUGCAUGGUAGUCGUCAGCUCGUGUCGUGAGAUGUUGGGUUAAGUCCCGCAACGAGCGCAACCCUCGUUCUAUGUUGCCAGCAUGUGAUGGUGGGAACUCAUAGGAGACUGCCGGGGUCAACUCGGAGGAAGGUGGGGAUGACGUCAAAUCAUCAUGCCCUUUAUGUCUUAGAGUUCACGCAUGGUACAA
rnacentral:rRNA from 1 species